rnacentral:rRNA from 1 species
AUUGAACGCUGGCGGCAGGCCUAACACAUGCAAGUCGAACGAGUGGCGGAAGGGUGAGUAAUGUCUGGGAAACUGCAUGAUGGAGGGGGAUAACUACUGGAAACGGUAGCUAAUACCGCAUACCCUCAGAUGUUCCCAGAUGGGAUUAGCAUGUUGGUGGGGUAACGGCUCAACAAGGCGACGAUCCCUAGCUGGUCUGAGAGGAUGACCGGCCACACUGGAACUGAGACACGGUCCAGACUCUUACGGGGGGCAGCAGUGGGGAAUAUUGCACAAGGGGCCCAAGCCUGAUGAAGCCAGGCCGCGUGUAUGAAGAAGGCCUUCUGGUUGUAAAGUACUUUCAGCGGGGAGGCGUUACCCGCAGAAGAAGCACCGGCUAACUCCGUGCCAGCAGCCGCGGUAAUUC